UACGUGAGGGGCGAACGUUGUUCGGUGUCACUGGGCUUAAAGGGCGCGUAGGCGGCUGUGCAAGUAAGGUGUGAAAGCCCCCGGCUUACCCGGGGAAUAGCGCUUUAGACUGCAUGGCUUGAGUGCCAGAGAGGUGGGAGGAACUCCAGGUGUAGCGGUGAAAUGCGUAGAUAUCUGGGGGAAGGCCGGAGGCGAAGGCGUCCCACUGGCUGGUCACUGACGCUGAGGCGCGAAAGCGUGGGGAG
rnacentral:rRNA from 1 species